UCCAUGUUCCCCUGUGAUGCCACACUGUGUUCCCGACCAGUGUCUCCUCCUGCGUCUCCCCUGUUGCAUCAGUCCCCCCAGACAGGAUGACGUGAUGCUGGUGAGAGAGUUGUCUGCCGAAAGGAGUUAGACACAGGGACGGAGAGUGGCACCGCUGGAUUUUGAGACCCCAGUUAGAGAUCAACAUCAUGGCGCUGUGUGUGUGUGUGUGUGUGCGUAUGGCUGCCGGCAAGGCUGAGCACCAUAUAAAGUUUUUUUCUGAAAAGGUCCAAUGUGCACAUCGGAAGGGUCGUGACACCACCUGUCUGUCUGCUGUUUGAUGCUGAGCAGGUAGACAGACAGCGUUCGCCCCGAGGACACGGUGUUUGCCAAAAGGUGAAGCAGCACAAUGGAGCGCUCUGCCUUGGGCCAGCCAUGCCCAUUUAGCCAAGUGUCCCAGUGACGCCUCGCCCGUCACAACCCCGAAAUAAAGUGCUGGCGCACCUCCGGUUCAUUUUGACCUCAUCCAGCACUGCACGCCUGACCCUUUGCUCUUUCGGGCGUGCACACGUCCAUACCGAGCGCUCUCUAAAUCCUCGGCUCUGCCUCGAAUAGACAGCGCCACUCGCCAGCCAGCCGGAUCAUCACCAGUAAGCCUCAGAUAAUCAAUAGACCAAGCAACAACAUGCCCUUCACCAAGAAGCACAAGGUCGACCAGGCGAGCCGUCAGUUCAGAUCUGACCGGGCUGAUCAGUUUUGUUUUAUUUAACUGGAACAACACCACCGCUACAUCGACGAGCUUACUAUGAAUGCAGGACUGCACUGUGGUUUAAUCUUUCACAAAGCAGAAGAAGCUAAAGCACGACGCACGCUGCCAGUUUUAUUGCCAACAUUCCCCUUCAAAAUCAGACCAGAUGUUUAAUCUUACGUCCCCACUGCCUGUUUUCAUCUUGAUGACUACAUGUAAGGAUGUAUAAUACCCUAAUAAAACUGGUCAU